AGUGAACGCUGGCGGUAGGCCUAACACAUGCAAGUCGAACGGCAGCACAGUAAGAGCUUGCUCUUACGGGUGGCGAGUGGCGGACGGGUGAGGAAUACAUCGGAAUCUACUUUUUCGUGGGGGAUAACGUAGGGAAACUUACGCUAAUACCGCAUACGACCUACGGGUGAAAGCAGGGGAUCUUCGGACCUUGCGCGAGUGAAUGAGCCGAUGUCGGAUUAGCUAGUUGGCGGGGUAAAGGCCCACCAAGGCGACGAUCCGUAGCUGGUCUGAGAGGAUGAUCAGCCACACUGGAACUGAGACACGGUCCAGACUCCUACGGGAGGCAGCAGUGGGGAAUAUUGGACAAUGGGCGCAAGCCUGAUCCAGCCAUACCGCGUGGGUGAAGAAGGCAUUCGGGUUGUAAAGCCCUUUUGUUGGGAAAGAAAAGCAGCAGGUUAAUACCCCGCUGUUCUGACGGUACCCAAAGAAUAAGCACCGGCUAACUUCGUG
rnacentral:rRNA from 1 species